rnacentral:siRNA from 1 species
UGCUCUAAGGACGAGUUAGCCUA